CCGUAGCCCGACGUGGACCCUUCCUCGCCGUAACGGAAAGCGGAAGGCUCGUACAUCAGCGGUCAACGGAGUGCUGGAACGCCGCUUCAUGAAUGGACGCUCGCCUCCUGGAAGUCAUUGUGCAUGCGAUUAGCUGAAUUCCCGCGGAAAGGUCAACCGAACCGUGAGACCGACCGCAACGUUGCUUCGUGGAAUUAAGUGAAACCACGACACGCCAGCCUGCUACUCGCUUGCUGACUCCAAAGCCGAGAGGCUGCCAACAUGGUGCAUACCACAGUCGCGGUCUGUCACUGCUGCCUAUUAGGUCACCAGGGGUCAGCGGCCAGCCAUCCUCCACUUCUGGUCAUCGUUGAUGAUCUGCAAACUGGUGUCUUCGCACCGUCCAGGCAAGCCGCUUCUGCACAACUUUCUGGCCGACUCAUCAGCAUCUGCUGCAGCUUUCGUCCAUUCACGGUGGGUGAGUAGGGCCUAGUCUUCACGACAACCGGCAUCCUGGACUGUAGUCGGCAGUCUCCACCUGAGCUUACGACGAGCUGUCUACGAGAGCGCUGGGUGGGCAGGACCAACGCAAGCAACGGCAUGGAGCCGUGGCACUGACCUACGGCGACGACGUCACGACAAGCUGACG